rnacentral:rRNA from 1 species
CAAUAGCGUAUAUUAUUGAUGUUGCAGUUGAAACGUUCGUAGUCGAACUUUAUGUGCUUGUGAUAGUGUUUUCAGCACAGAUCAUGCAAACCAACACCAUAUGUUUCAUAUGGUUGUUUGAUUUGCAUCUUACUUUGAGUGAAUCGGCGUGUUCCACGCAGGCAUGUGCCUUGAACGAUUUACCAUAGCAUAAAUAGAGUAUGGAAGUAUUUGUUUGCUUGUUCACGGAUAUUUCUGAUACUGACAAGAACGGUUGAGGGCAUUCGUAUUCAACUGCUAGAGGUGAAAUUCUUUGAUUAGUUGAGGACGAACUAUUGCGAAAGCAUCUGCCAUGGACGCUUCUUUUGA